rnacentral:lncRNA from 1 species
ACCGUGAGGCGAACCUCAGCCGGUUUCCCAGCCCCGCCGAGGCCCGCUGGGGCGAAGCGGAGCCCCGGGGGGCCCUGAGGAAACCGGCGCGGGUUCGUUUAAUUACGCCCUUCUCGCCAGACCUCUGGCUGGCCCUGAGCUGCUCAGAAGCCCAUCUGCGCGGCAUGCCCGUGCGAUCUGAGACAACUGGCAGCUGUCUUCCUUUGCAAAACGAGACUGUUAAUAAAACCUACCCCAGGGUAGGACGGACUGUUCGAUGAAUGGAUAAGCAACCUGGAGCAUAUCCAUACAAUGGAAUACUACUGAGCAAGAUGAAAGAACAAACUGCUGAUACACACAGCAACACAUCUGACUCUCAAGUGAAGAAAGCCCCUUUCAAGAGGCUGCAUAUAAUAGACUCCAUUCAUAUGACAUCCAGAAAAGGCAAAACUAUAGGUCGGGCACAGUGGCUCACGCCUGUAAUCCCAGCACUUUGGGAGGCCGAGGUGGGCAGAUCACGAGGCCAGGAGUUCAAGACCAGCCUGGCCAACAUGGUGAAAACCCAUCUCUAUGAAAAAUACAAAAAUUAGCUGGGCGUGGUGGUGGGCACCUAUAAUCCCAGCUACUCGGGAGGCUGAGGCAGGAGAAUCAAUUGAACCAGGGAGGCAGGGGUUGCAAUGAGCUGAGAUGACACCAUUGCACUCCAGCCUGGGCAACAGGGCAAGGAUCCAUCUCAAAAAAAAAAAAAGGCAAAACUGUAGAGAGAAAAAAUGAUCAGUUCUUGCCAGGGGGCUCAAGAUGGGAUGAGGUAUUUACUACGAAAGCGCAUGAGAGAAUUUUGAGGGGAGAGAAAGGUGAUAGAUUUGUUCUAUGUUUUGAUUAUAGUGGUGAUUAAAUAACUCUGUAUUUGCCAUAAUGCAUAGAACAGUAUUGUAUUAG